GAGAGAAAAAAUGGCGGAUUGCUGACUACCUUCAUAUUCCCUACGUCAGGGAGAUUGACGCGGGACAUUCUUUAUAGUAAUAAAGUGGCAUCGGUGACGGAAGACGAACGAUGCACCCUGGAUAAUAACAGGGGCGUGAUUAAUUACUCGAUUUUACCGAAAUGCUGACUAAACGCCCUUCCCAUAUACCUGGCUUGAAACGAAGUAACUCUGCAGCCGCCAAAUGCUCUUUUAAUCUCACCCAGCGUUACGGCGAGUUAUUAUCGAGAAUCGCUGUGAAAUGAGGGUAAGCCUGGAAAUAUUACAAAAAGGAGAAAAAAAAAGUACCCACACCACAGACUCCCGGCAUUCCAUUGUCUUACCGGGAGAGCAGAACCCUCGUGCCGUAACGGCAAUGGACGGAAGUGAACUUGGAAAAGAAUGAGCUCGCAAAAUAAAAAAAAAAGAGAAAAGGAAAAAGGGAUCAACCGCCCUACCACCUAUCCAGUCAGACCUCCCACCUACACCGUAAAGCUCGAAAGCAAAAAAUCGUGGGUUCAGGGAAAAAAGAGAAAGAUACAAAAUAGAGGAAAUGAAAAAAAAAGUGAACAUUCUCUUUUUCAAAUAGAUACACUGCACUGAUAAUUUGUUUCCUAUCACCGGAUGCAUCCUGCUCUUAGGAUUCUGCACGCAUGCGUCUGCGGACACCUGUUCGACGUGUGCGAAAUGCGAAACAGCUAAAAUAACGUCGUCGGAUUCUCGUCUCACGUAGAGACUCGUUUGGCAAAACGAGUAUCGGAAAUGGGACGAAUAGCAUAGUCACCAGUUAGUUAUGUAAGACUUUACCUGCGUUGACGUCGUCCCAGCAUCUCAAGUUAAAAAAGUAACCUAGAAACCCUCGGGCAACCCUGGAUAAUACAUUAUAACAUAGAAGUGUCCCGAAUUUACAUCAUCCAAAACGUGCUGGCAUGUUGUCUCAAAAGUAAAACAAUUUCGUGCAAUCAUACUGGCUGUUCUAAUCCAGUAAAAAUGUCCGAGUAAUUUCAUUUGAGACAGAAUAUCCGUAACUCAGAGAAGAAAGAAAACUAAAAGGAAAAGAGAAAAACCUAACCUACAAUUUUAACAUGAUAUCACUUAGCAAAGUGGCACUCGUAUUCGUAUACAUACCUAACCUCCAAUGGAUUAAUUACCAUUUAUCACUAAAUUCCAGCGACGUAUUCGACGAUCGCACAGUCAAUAAAACUUCAUCACCGUGCACGUUAAAUCGUUACUCGAAAACGACACAAGAAACAAUAAGCAGACGUCAGUUGUGUUGUAUAAGAGAGAAAAUCCUUUUUCCAAUUGUGAAAGUGGCUAAACUGAUGUUCUCCUUAAUAAGAUUAAUGGAAGAAUAGGUUAUAGCAGAGAAAGAUAAACCGAGGAUAAGAAAACACGAGACGAAGUGACAGCUGCUGUCGGAAAGAUUUGCAGAUCUUCCUGACGAAGGUCAGCCAAACGUUUCGGAAGUGCUCCUGGUACUAGGCAAUGACUUUGGCCAAACGGUAUCGUCAGGUAUCAUGAAUGGUCCAUGUGUACCAUUCAGCCGAGAAACGCAUCCCCGGGUCAAAGAUCGAUGCCUGGCGGUGUCAGGGUGUGCGAUACAGGAUGUAUAAGGUGUCUUCCAGGUGAGGGUUGAGUUUCCAUGGUAACCAAGCUUGGUGCCCUGGCUCCUAGGUCAGGGCCACUGCCCCAUACUCUUUACCCUCAUGUGCAAUAGCUUAUAACAGUCCCUACUCCUUCGCAGACCUACUUGGCCCUUAUGUUUCUUCUUUCUGUGGCAGCGUACAACUGAACUCUUACUCUACUUUUCAGCAUCCCUAGGGCAUAAUAAAUUCUCUGUAUUGAGAUCCCUCACCAGGAACACUUUCCAAGGGACUUCAACACCUGUCACCUGAUUUUCUUACUAAGGAUGGAUAACCUCACGUUCAGGAUACAUAGCAUCUCUACUUGAUCUUGGGGGUUGAAAACGUUCAAGGAAAAGGACCGUCGGUAGCUUUAACUCCCAAGUGAGAUGCGUGCCGCGUUAGGGGAUCGAUAACGUAGCUACCCUUACGCAGCCUCUCACUCUGUCCGCUCGUUCGUUCUCUCUCGUCUUUCUCUCCACGUGUAUCAACCGUCUUUCUCUUUCUUCAUCUCUUCGUCUUUCUUGCUCUGCUAAAAUGUGAACGGUCCAAGUUGCGUCCCGGGACCUUCGACGCUCUCCGUACUUCAUCCUAUGUAAAAGGUUGGUAUAAGGUGGGAUACGUAUGUAUAUAAUUGGUAGCUUUCAGAAAAUCCUCAGACUAUGUCGACGAGAUGGAAUUGCAAGGGAUGCUGCAUAUUUAAUAGGACGACCAUAUAAAGCCGUCAGGAAAAAUUCUGAUAUGGUCCAGAAAAAAGCCUUUCGCGUCUCGACGCUCUACUGCCUAGAUGGAUAUCCAGAACGAACGGAACUCUCGAUAUAUGCAGAUUACGCUGAGUGAAUUUUCAAGCUAGGAACUCGGACCAAUCCGAAUUUCUCGACUUGAUUCAAACCCUUGGAAUAUUCAAUUACCCUUUCUCGGUCCUUCAGUCAAAUGUGAAUCAACCAUAGAGUUAAUGCAAGACCCUGAACUAAAAGCUGGAGUUUGCUUUUCCCCAUGACUUGUACUUUUUUUUUAAAGUUUACCCUUUUCUCGCGAAUUCCAAUUACAAUGCUUGACGAGUCCCGCGUGGAAUUCGUACGUAGGUACGUCAAGUACCUGAUUCUUGUAGUCUCUGUGAUCUCAAUGAGAACUAGGCUUAAGAGAGAGAGGGUUAAAAACAAAACAAAAAUAUAAAAACUGUAUUCUAGUAUACAACAUUCGGACUCAAACCACUUAAUCUUAUCUCAUUGUCAGUAAAUUGAGCAACGACGAAAAUAUCAAAAGAUAUUGUAUCUCGAGAAGCAAAAAAUAAAAUAGAAGAUUUAUGAAAAAAAAAAUUGUCAAAGACAAAGAAAACCCUUCUCAUCAAUUACCCCUAAGCGAAUACCAUUUGCCACUGAAUGAUGUAGUCGGUUACACUAGUCUUUUGAAUUUUGAAACACUAUGAAUCGCCCUGUAUCAAAUAUACUGUAUGGAUACAUUCUCUAUAAAAAUAUACACAUAUGUAUUUCCUCUAUUUUCAUAUAUUUAUCCUAUUUCCGUUCCACUGACUGCUUCCCUAAAAACACCAAUAAAACUCUACACUCCCAGCAGCAUGUUUGCUUUGACAGUGUGAGCGUAAAGUUUCGUGAGGCUGGAGCCUUCGACAUAGAAACAAUAUGGUGGCUGGUUUCACCCACAAGAUCGCGAACACAUCGACUACCAAUUGAGUGCACCCUUGAUAUAAUAAAAGUCUCCUCUUACCACCCCUUCCUUUAACGUUGCUCAGUAUACCAAAAGAAAAUAAAUGCAGAGUGCACUCGUGGCUCGAUUCUUGAUUCCGACUGGUUCAUCUUUUUAUCUUAAGCGUGCGAUUCGAGUGGUACGGUUUUUCCUCUACUACUUUUAUGCAUAAGAUUACAUAUAUACGUCAAUAUAUAAAUAUAUAUAUAUAGACUGCUUAUAUUUUCAUAUAUAAAUAUCUCUACCCCAUCUCUUUAAUCUCAAUCUCGUAAUUCAUCCUUAUUGCUAGUCCAUGACUCGUUACACUAAAUUGGAGUUUGACGAGGAACCUGCGUGUAUCUAUUAAUCCUGAAGAAGGACUCGUAAACUAGAUAACGGUUUCCCUAUCUCAAUUCUACCAUUAGGAAUGGGAAUUAGUCCUUGGUAGAAUAUAUUUGAGGAAUCGGUUGCAUCCCUUUAAGACCGCCAGUAUGUUCGGGGUAAUUCCAUUAAAAAGAAAAAACCUGAAAAUAAAAUAUAAUACAGUCACAGUAGACGAUUUGUCAUUAGAGUGAAACUCAAAUUAGUAAUUGAUUAUCGUUUACCUCGUUUACUGAUUUUUUAAUAUAUUUUUUAUAUUAAUUACAUCAAUUCACUUAGUCAUCCGGGGGAAUCAUCACGAAUCCAGUCUCCGUGGAAAAAUGGCGUCAUCCCUCAUUUAAAGACUUGCCAAUGAACGAUACACUUGAGAACGCGCAUCAUUAUUUACCCCGCCGUUAUAUUAUUUCACCACUACCUUUCUGCUCCCUUUCUUCCCUUGA